ACAGCUUUGGACAAAAGUCUAUAGCCAGUGCAUUCGUAACUCCCCAUGCACAAGAGCUGACUGUGGCUCUGGGAAGACAUUUUACUCAUUUGAUUUCUUUUUUCUUGUAGUCGUCUUGUCCAGUUCUCAGGUGUUUACCACCUAUUAGAAUUUCACCUGUAUGGGUCCUGUGUUUGAGAAAGUCCCAGGACUUGUCAGCUGUAUAGGCCUCAUAAGAGACAGCUCU
rfam:Cathartes aura contig103755, whole genome shotgun sequence.